rnacentral:misc_RNA from 1 species
GAUGAAGAACGCAGCGAAAUGCGAUAAGUAAUGUGAAUUGCAGAAUUCAGUGAAUCAUCGAAUCUUUGAACGCACAUUGCGCCCGCUGGUAUUCCGGCGGGCAUGCCUGUUCGAGCGUCAUUUCAACCCUCAAGCCCCCGGGUUUGGUGUUGGGGAUCGGCUCUGCCCUUCUGGGCGGUGCCGCCCCCGAAAUACAUUGGCGGUCUCGCUGCAGCCUCCAUUGCGUAGUAGCUAACACCUCGCAACUGGAACGCGGCGCGGCCAUGCCGUAAAACCCCAACUUCUGAAUGUUGACCUCGGAUCAGGUAGGAAUACCCGCUGAACUUAAGCAUAUCAUAAGCGGAGGA